AUUACAUUCUAUUUUUUAAUUUAAUCUUUAGAUUGAAAAAGUAUACGCAAAUUGUCAUGGAAUCUGUAAAUCAAAUAAACUCUCUAUUGCUACGUAUUUAAAGAUCUUUGAAUUUAUGGAUCGCUCAGUUGUACCCAUCAAUGGUGUUAAAAUUGGUGAUGUUACUGUUAUUCAAAAGACUUUUUUCGUUAAGUUCAUCAUGGAAAUCGCAUCUUCUCUAAUGCUUAUAACUAUCAAUCUAAGACAAUAUUUCGAGUAACAACUUCAAUAAUUUAACAAAUAAUCGAUGCUGCAUCAAAAAGUAACAUUAUUCAAGCUUUCAUUGCA